CCUACGGGUGGCAGCAGUAGGGAAUCUUUCACAAUGGGCGAAAGCCUGAUGGAGCAACGCCGCGUGCAGGAUGAAGGCCUUCGGGUUGUAAACUGCUUUUAUAAGCGAGAAAUAUGAUGGUAACUUAUGAAUAAGGAUCGGCUAACUACGUGCCAGCAGCCGCGGUCAUACGUAGGAUCCGAGCGUUAUCCGGAUUUACUGGGUGUAAAGGGAGCGUAGGCGGUGCAGCAAGUCAGAAGUGAAAGCCCGGGGCUCAACUCCGGGACUGCUUUUGAAACUGUUGAACUAGAUUGCAGGCGAGGUAAGUGGAAUUCCUAGUGUAGCGGUGAAAUGCGUAGAUAUUAGGAGGAACACCAGUGGCGAAGGCGGCUUACUGGACUGUAAAUGACGCUGAGGCUCGAAAGCGUGGGGAGCAAACAGGAUUAGAUACCCCUGUAGUC
rnacentral:rRNA from 1 species